UUCGCUUCUCGGCCUUUUGGCUAAGAUCAAAGUGUAGUAUCUGUUCUUAUCAGCUUAAUAUCUGACCGUUUGAUACAUGGCGAUCUCACUAAGCCCGUCAGGCCUAGGUCUCGAGCUUUU
rnacentral:snRNA from 1 species